UUUGGUAUUUUAUUGUAAUACUAAGAUAGUUUGUUAGAUAACGCCAUCUUUAGAAUUUUAUUGGGCGUCUUAGCUUUAUUUAUUAAAAUUCGAUAUUUUAUAUAAAGCCGUGCAAAUUUACAUAAUUUAAGCAUUUCAUCCCGAGAAACAGAGAGAUAAUCAAGGAUUCUGCCAACAAUGAAGCUGAAUAUUGAUUUGGGUUUACUUCUCAUCUCUCUGGUGGGCAGAUUGACCUGUCAAAGAGUCCAAUCAGUAAUCACUGGGGAUGCAACAUGUGACAAAAGAAUGUCUUUCUAUGCUGAUGGUGUCCGCUAUACCACCACACCAAACGAUAAUAAAUGGCGAAAAUCAUCACCUGUCAGGAUUCCUGAUGAUACCGAACUUGUUGCCAUUAAAUGUGUAAAUCCCGCGGGGGUUGGUGGCAUCAAGAUGGCAUUGAGUGACGGUACUAAAACAGACGUGACGUGGAAAUGUUCUGCUACAUUUGAAGAUAAUUGGAAUAAAGUCGGAUUUUAUGACGCUGCCUGGGAAAAUGCCAUUGUACCUGACUACAACAAUAGAAAAAGCAAACCGGAAUCUCUGAAUGGUAAAGCUGACUGGAUUUGGACAAGUGGUUAUAGAGAAGGACAGGAUAAAAUAGUCUAUUGUAGAAAAGUUAUUAAAAAUCCAUGUGCUCUCGACACAGUCAGGUAUUUCGCUUAUCCAUUCAACGACACGAAAUAUUACCAGUGUGAUAACAACGUUGCCAAGCUACGUGACUGUGCACCUGGUACUGUGUGGUUUCAAGAAGAUCUUACUUGUGGUCUUGACAAUCUUGACACCGUUCCUGACUGCGAUCUAGACAUUGGCUGCACCGGCGACACACCUACAACAGCUGACCCGGAAGAUUGUACUAAAUACUAUGAUUGUGUUGAUGGAGAACCAAUCGGGGAACCAAGGCCUUGUGCAACUGGUACGGCUUAUAAUCCUGUCAUAGAUGGCUGUGAUCAUAUCAGUAACGUUCCAGACUGUGACUCAAACUAAUACUGUUUAAUCAAUGAAAAUGACAAUGAAUUCAAAUAUACCAAUUAUUAAAUUUAGGUUUUUCUAAUUUCAUGUUUAAUCGUUUUUGGUCUAAUAUAAAUUUGUUCUAUGGCGACUGUCGAUGCUGGAAAUAUUUUGGGUUUGUAUUCUGAUCCAUAUCUUGUUUGGGUAUUUUUUCAAAAUUUUCUAAACUAAAAGUUUUAUAGUCCAUAAUUUUUCUGAGUUAAAAUAAAAAUCAGCGUCAA